rnacentral:rRNA from 1 species
ACGUAGGAGACAAACGUUAUCCGGAGUUACUGGGCGUAAAGGGCGUGUAGGUGGUUUCGUAAGUCUGGCGUGAAAUUUCUCGGCUUAACCGAGGCAGGUCGUCGGAUACUGCGGGACUAGAGGACGGUAGAGGCGUGUGGAAUUCCGGGUGUAGUGGUGAAAUGCGUAGAGAUCCGGAGGAACACCAGUGGCGAAGGCGACACGCUGGGCCGUUGCUGACACUGAGGCGCGACAGCGUGGGGAGCAAACAGGA